rnacentral:rRNA from 1 species
CUCGAUCUGUCCUCUCCGGUUUACCUUUGUUACGACUUCUACCCCAGUCACCAGUCUCCUGUCCUUAGGCUGUCCCCCUUCCUUUACGGUUAGGGUAACGUAUCUUCUGGUGCAUGACUCAGCUCCCAUGGUGUGACGGGCGGUGUGUUACAAGGUCCCGGGAUACGAAUUCAUCCGUCUCUGUAUGUCUGACUCUGGGCGAUUACUAGCGAUUUCCUCCUUCACGCAGGCGAGUUGCAGCCUGCGAUCUGAUACUUAGGCAGGGUUUUAUGGGAUUUUCUUCACUCUCUCUUGUGCUUCGUCAGCCCUUUGUUCCCUACCAUUUUAGUACGUUUGGUAUGCCCAAGACGUAAGGCUAUCAUUCUGACUUUACGUCAUCCUCCACCUUCUCUCCUUUUUGUCACCGUCAGUCUCCCUAGAGUGUCCUCAACUUAAUGCUGGCAACUAAGAACUGAGGGUUGCGUCUCGUUGCGGGACUUAACCCAACAUCUCACGACACGAGCUGACGACAGCCACUCACCACCUGUGUUCGGUUCCGGAGGCACCCCCAGCUUUCACCAGGGUUCGCGACAUGUCAAGCCUUGGUAAGGUUCUUCUCGUUGCAUCGAAUUAACCACAUACUCACCGCUUGUUCGGUCCCCGUCAAUUCCUUUGAAGUUCACACUUGCGUGCUUACUCCCAGGCGGGAUACUUAACGGGUAGCUACGGCACGGUUUGAGUUUA